rnacentral:rRNA from 1 species
UGGGGAAUAUUGCGCAAUGGGCGAAAGCCUGACGCAGCGACGCCGCGUGUGGGAUGAAGGUCUUCGGAUUGUAAACCACUGUCGCGAGGGACGAAAAUCUGACGGUACCUCGAAAGGAAGCACCGGCUAACUCUGUGCCAGCAGCCGCGGUAAUACAGAGGGUGCGAGCGUUGUCCGGAAUCACUGGGCGUAAAGGGCGCGUAGGCGGCUUGGUAAGUAGGGGGUGAAAUCUCAUGGCUCAACUGUGAGGCUGCCUUCUAGACUGCUGAGCUCGAGUGCAGUAGAGGCGAGUGGAAUUCCCGGUGUAGCGGUGGAAUGCGUAGAGAUCGGGAAGAACAUCGGUGGCGAAGGCGGCUCGCUGGGCUGUUGCUGACGCUGAGGCGCGAAAGCGUGGGGAGCAAACAGG